UACGGUGGGGGCAAGCGUUGUUCGGAAUUACUGGGCGUAAAGGGCGCGUAGGCGGCCUGUCAAGUCGGAUGUGAAAUCCCUCGGCUCAACCGAGGAACUGCAUUCGAUACUGGCGGGCUUGAGUCCGGGAGAGGGAUGUGGAAUUCCAGGUGUAGCGGUGAAAUGCGUAGAUAUCUGGAGGAACACCGGUGGCGAAGGCGGCAUCCUGGACCGGUAUUGACGCUGAGGCGCGAAAGCGUGGGGAGCGAACAGG
rnacentral:rRNA from 1 species